rnacentral:lncRNA from 1 species
GGCGAAACUUUGGCCCCAGGCCUCUCGAAUUCCUGCUCCCAAACCCUUCCUUCCGGUUUGAGAGGCAGGAGUGCCAGGGUAGGGGCCUGAAGACGGGUGCACAGCAGACAGGCGACAGGACAUCCUUUCCAGACUUCGGCAGUUUUGGUGAUCCCCUGCUACUUGGAUGACGGGGUUCACCUCCUUUCUUCACCACCCCUCCCCCACCAUCGAAAGGUCACCAGCGCUGGACCAAGGUUUCACACCUCCAAGGGGGCCAAAGAUUGCCUGUAGUGAAGUGUUAAAAUGCAGAUUCCUGGGUUCAGCCUCGGAGAUUCUCCUUCACAAGGUUCGAGAGAGAUCCCAGAAAUCUGCAUUUUUACCAAGUGCCCAGCGAUUCUGAUGCUAAAGGCUUGAAGCACACCGAAGAGCUAGCUCCGAGGACACUGAAGAAUGAACCUCUGCCCCUCCCUACAAACCCCCUCCCCUCACACUGAGACCAUCGUGGAUGUACUGCCUCCCCCCAAUAUUUCAUGGAGGUGCGGUUCUGUGGGUUGUGACCGCAGUCAGAAGUUGUGAUGGAAGCAGGUUGAAGAGUGCUGGCCAACGUCCGGGGGCAGCGGAAGGCUCUCCGCGAGGGCUGGGGAGGGGAGGGGAUCCGUUCGGGUGGAGGGGAAGGGGAGGGCUCACAGGCUCCGGCCCCGGAAAUCCGAUCCCUUUAGGACCCAGAGGUGCCAGUCCCCCAGCGGCGGCUGCGAGAAGGGCAGCCGCUCGGUCUCCGGCAGCCGCCGCUCGGGCAAAGCCAGAGAAAGACCGAG